CACUUCGCCAUUUUCCUCCGGAAGUGCGGAUCCCAGCGGCGGUCGUGUAGCUGAGCAGGCCUGGGGCUUGGUUCUAUGUCCCUGUAGCUAUGUUUCCAGUGUCCUCUGGGUGUUUCCAAGAGCAACAAGAAACGAAUAAAUCUCUGCCCCGCAGCGCCUCCACCCCAGAGACCCGGACCAAGUUCACACAGGACAAUCUGUGCCACGCCCAGCGCGAGCGCCUGGACUCGGCCAACCUGUGGGUGCUGGUGGACUGCAUCCUUCGCGACACCUCCGAGGACCUGGGACUCCAGUGUGACGCCGUGAACCUGGCCUUCGGGCGCCGCUGUGAGGAACUGGAGGACGCGCGGCACAAGCUGCAGCACCACCUGCACAAGGUGGGGCACCCUGAACCCCGAAGACGGCUCCGGCGCCUGCCCACCACUCUGCCCCCUCUCAUCACCUGGCCUGGGCCCUCAACACCUUUCUCCUCUGUCCCACUUAUCCCGAGGGACCCCAGAAGCAAGUGUCACCUCUCCGUAAACCUAUGUAAAACCAGGUGACACUGGGUAUGAUCGCAGUGUGUUGCAACCCCCAUGACUGAGAAGGAGGAGCUGUGGGGAGGAUGGAGGCAGGAGCUGGUCUGGGGAGCAUUGACUGCCUGGGAGGUCCCCAAGAGUCCUGGCCUGGCAGGCAGGGCUCUGACUCUAGGGCCUCAGCAUGGCCUUUACCACCUCUGAGUCCCCAGUCCUUGAGCAGGAUUUGGGUCCUGGUGACCACCAAGGAUGGGGGGUUCUUGGACCAGAGCUAAGAGACAACAGGCUGCCUGACUCUCCAGAGCCCGCUGGGGGCCCCGUGCACAUUGUUCCCCUCACCCACGCCUCCCCAGGGCCACUGGUCAGGACCACCCUCUGGACACAGCCCCAGGAGCUGGGUAGGACCAGACUGGUCUCUACAUUCCAUAUGCCCGGGCAUGGGGGCACAGGCCCAAGGGGCACUGUCCUGUCUGCAGAUGCUGCGGGAAAUCACAGAUCAGGAACACAACGUGGUGGCACUGAAGGAGGCCAUCAAGGACAAGGAGGAACCUCUGCACAUAGCCCAGACCCGGCUGUAGUUGCUCUCACACCGGCCCAACAUGCAGCUGUGCCGCGAUGCAGCCCAGUUCAGGUACUGCCUGGGCCUCUGAGGCAGUCCCAGGUGCCCCCAUCCACCUCCUCGCUGCGACCCUCUCCAAUAAACACUCCAAUCUCCACACACACAUCCCCCACAGGUGCUGAGAGGGGAGGGAGACUCUGCGGCCACACACAACAUGCAAGCACGCCUUAAACACACAGAUAUAGACAUGACACUGGGCAGGUCAUGGGUCGGGGGCCUCCCCGUGCCAGGGACCUGUGCCCACGUGGUCUCACCCCACCCUGUGCUACCUCAUCUUCCCGGGAGGAAGCUCCUUCAGACAAGGUGAGCUCCUGGAGGCCACGGGGCCAGAGAGGCCAGAGAGGGCCAUUCCCUGCUGCCCUGAGGGUGCUGUCCCCACCUCUGGUGGAAAGUAUGACCUACGCCUGGGCUACAGGCAUAGAUGGGCCGUCCUUUUGUUUCCCUUGUUAACGGAUGCCUGGUGGCCCCUUCUGAGCCUAAGUACCUUUCUUCCUUCCCUGCCCCUCAGUUCCUUCAAGGAACUGGGUGCCUCCUUCCGUCAAAUAUCAGGAAUGGAAAGAACUGAGCCUGGUCGGCUGAGGCCAGUCCUGUCCUGUCAGGGUCGAGAUUGCACGCGGGUCACUCAUUCCCACUCAGGCCCGCGCUCCCUGGGAGGACCCUCGUAAUUUAUGCUCUGCCCUAGAGCCGCUUUCCUGGUAGGAUCCUUUCAUGGCGUCUUCCCAGGACCUCCUGCCAGCUCCCAUUGGGAGUUUUGGGUCCCCUCCACCCCAGUAGGUGCAUACUUCUGCCCUCCCCAGCCCCAGCUCACACCCCCCAACACCCCCAAGCUGGUGAGUGAGGUGGAGGAGCUGUACAAGUCCAUCACAGCGCUGCGGGAGAAGCUUCUACAAGCGGAGCAGUCCCUGCGCAACCUCAAGGACAUCCACAUGAGCCUGGAGAAGGACGUCACUGCCAUGACCAACAGUCUCUUCAUCGACCGCCAGAAGUGCAUGGCCCAUCGUACUUGCUACCCCACCAUUCUGCAGCUGGCUGGCUACCAGUGAGCAGCGGCACGGUGCUUCCCCCCAAUCCCCCAAAUAAACAGUGCGUUAGCUUUCU
ensembl:lncRNA TEKT4P2 tektin 4 pseudogene 2